CGCUGCGCCACCUCUUUGGUAUUGAUCUCUUCCAUCUGCCCUGAAUUACUUCCAUUGCUGACCUGAGCGCCGGUCACCGAAGGGUUGGGCUCCCGGGCUGUGCCCAAGAGCUGUCCGUGGCUCUGGGCAUUCAGAGUGCCCAGCACAAAGCUCAGAGCCCUUAGAUGUACUACAAUGGAAGAAAGCAUUAGAGUCUGUGGAAGAAUUCCUUGAAAUUGGAUAGAGUUCCAGGAACUGCUUGGAGCCGCCUUGGUGGCGGUGGCGGUCUGAAAACUGACCACACGGAAAGCAUCUCUGGUUACUUCCUGGGUAAAGAAGAAAACCGCUUGCUCUCCCAGGACCCUGGAUGAGCUACCAAUGGAUUCUUCUGAGUUGAAACUGUCUAGGGGCCGGCUGCUUUGGCAAAAGCUCUGCAAGUCUUCAAGCCAAGAACGCUGGCCAGGGGGUAUCACAGUGGCUGUGGG